CUGAUGAGGGUGGUGACGUGGCGUUCGUAUUGUAAAACUGAAACAAUUCGUAUCUAACAUUGCACCACGCAAGCAGAGCCCUCGCGCCCUCUUUUCCUUCGCAGCAUGAGGGUAGAGUAGAAAUCGCGUUUUGCAAACACUCUUCACAACUACUACUCGUUAAGCUCGGCUCGCACUCCGUCAGGGCGUACACCCUUCUCUGAGCCGAGGAUCCGGCGAAUUCUCUAUCGCCGGUGGCGAAUUUCCUCGCCGAGUUAGAAUUCGCUGUUUCUUCCACCAAAUCGUCCAACAAGCCGAACAACGUUCCGUUAAAGCUGCCCAAGUCGGAGGUGGAGAUGUUUUCACCGUUCCAUAAGCUAGCUCCCGGUUCGAUGCUGGCGGGGUCGAAGUAGGUGUUGGUGAAACGGAGCGUGCACUCGUCGUACCAUAUUAUGGACUCUGUUUUGUUGGGGCAGAGUUGUGUUAUUUCGGUGGCGGCGGUGGUUAUGCAGUCGUUACACGUGGCGAGGGAGACGUCGCCGCGGCAGAGGAAAUAGCCGCUGGCGGCACUUGUGGUCCCCAAGCCCAUGGCGGUGAAAUAGGAGCCGUCGGAUUGGGAAAUGUUGGAGACGAGAGAUUCGAGGAGGAAUUUGAGAUUGGUUUCGAAUGUUGCGGUGGAAUUGUAGGAUGCGUUGGUUGGGCAGUAAUUGUAAACCGGAGCUGCAGAGGAACAAAACGGUUCGAUUACGAAGAGAGACAGGAACAGAAGAAAGGUAACAUGGUUGAUGGAGUUGGAGAGGAACAUGUUGCGCCCAAACAUCGUUUCGCGCACAACACAAGAUUUUGGAAUUGGAAUAUGCGCGAUGUUGGACAAAUUGAAAUGCAGGUCAAGAAGCAACCCCACAAAGACCUAGUCCACUAUUCAGAAAGAAGGUUUGAAAAGCUACUUCGCGGCUGAUAUCAAACAUUUCCUAGAUUCAAAUAUAUUUUUUGUCAAUUUUGUGUUAGUUCACAUGUUAAAUGUAUUCAAACC
rnacentral:sRNA from 1 species